UUGUCUUUGGUCAGAAGAAGGAUUUGAACUCAGGUGCUACGAUCAGUUGUGCCUAUGAAAGAGGACAUCAAGUGCUGUCAGCAUCCUAUACAUUUUGGUACC
rnacentral:lncRNA from 1 species